GUGCCAGCAGCCGCGGUAAUACGUAGGGUGCGAGCGUUAAUCGGAAUUACUGGGCGUAAAGCGUGCGUAGGCGGUUCGUUAAGUGCGUCGUGAAAGCCCCGGGCUCAACCUGGGAAUGGCGAUGGAAACUGGCGGGCUGGAGUAUGGCAGAGGGGGGUGGAAUUCCGCGUGUAGCAGUGAAAUGCGUAGAGAUGCGGAGGAACACCGAUGGCGAAGGCAGCCCCCUGGGCCAAUACUGACGCUCAGGCACGAAAGCGUGGGGAGCAAACAGGAUUAGAUACCCUGGUAGUCCACGCCCUAAACGAUGCUCACUAGGUGUUGGGGGAGCGAUUCCUUGGUACCGUAGCUAACGCGUGAAGUGAGCCGCCUGGGGAGUACGGCCGCAAGGUUAAA
rnacentral:rRNA from 1 species